rnacentral:rRNA from 1 species
AGUGAACGCUGGCGGCAGGCCUAACACAUGCAAGUCGAGCGGCAGCGCGGGGGCAACCCUGGCGGCAAGCGGCGGACGGGUGAGGAAUUCGUCGGAAUCUGCCUUUUUGUGGGGGAUAACGUAGGGAAACUUACGCUAAUACCGCAUACGUCCUACGGGAGAAAGUGGGGGACCGCAAGGCCUCACGCAGAAAGAUGAGCCGACGACCGAUUAGCUAGUUGGUGGGGUAAAGGCCCACCAAGGCGACGAUCGGUAGCUGGUCUGAGAGGAUGAUCAGCCACACUGGGACUGAGACACGGCCCAGACUCCUACGGGAGGCAGCAGUGGGGAAUAUUGGACAAUGGGCGCAAGCCUGAUCCAGCCAUGCCGCGUGUGUGAAGAAGGCCUUCGGGUUGUAAAGCACUUUUGUCCGGAAAGAAAUCCCUGGAGCUAAUACCUUCGGGGGAUGACGGUACCGGAAGAAUAAGCACCGGCUAACUUCGUG